CCCACCACAUGGGCUGAGGGACAGUGGACCAGCCCACGGCUGAAAAAUGUUGCUGACCACUGAUCUAAGGAGAGGCAUCUUAUGAUUAGGACAAUGAGAAUGGCGAAUUAUUUUGGGACUCAGAAAGCUCAAUAGAUGCAAAGGGACCAAGUUAAGACAAUGGAAAACCAGUGAGGAAGAGAUUGGGAAAGUGUAAGAAAUGACCGGGACAUGGACCAGAGUUUUCCCGAGAUAAAUGACUUCAAAGCCUCUGAGAUUGGGAUUAGUUAGAGAGUCAAGUACUUCACAGAGUGAAACACACCAAUCAUCAUAACACAGGGGGCGACAGCCCAUCAAGAUAGAGCUAUUCCUGACAGAAUGAACAAGCAGUACAUGUUCCUUCACUGCUUAUGUUGGUUUUGUCCAAUGGCUGUGGAGCAAUUAUCAUGAUAGUUUUCAGCAGAAGAGUCUGUUUCUUGAACUGAACACAAAAUAUCUGGCUGAGUAGUUGAAACAUCUGAAGAUAUGUUCUCCCUCUUU